AUUUAAUUAAACCUAACAAAUUCACCCCACGCACACCCAAUUCAUCUCAAACCCUAUAUUCAUCAUUCUCUCUACCUUCUCUCUAUCUAUAUAUCUCGCUACUUGCUCACAUCUACCAUUCUUCUUUCCGAUCAGUGAAGGAUCAUAUCUGGGCCAUGGCUACUACUUUGGCUUUGGCUGUGGGUGGUGACACCUUCGAUGGAGGUUGUGCUACGAGUAGCUCUACCAUAUCUCGUCUAUGACAUCGCUGCUCCGCCGUACGCAGCGGCUAACCGUUGCAUCAUCGCUGUUACUUGUAGACCAACUAUGGUUUUAUCAUUAUGCUAAGAAGAUAUGACAUUGCUUACUAACCAACUAUGAUUUGAGCAUUUCUUUUCAAUUUUCCAUUGCUCAUCAAUGUUUAGGAUUUUGUCAUUCAUCCUGUAAUGUUUUCUUAAUGAAGUUCAUUUUUUUUUGGCUUUUGCGGAUUUUUCUUGGUGGAAGAUUUUUGAGUGUGACAUUUGAUUAUGAAAAAUGCUCUGUUAGCCACAAAAAAAAAAAAAAAAGAAAAAAAAAGAAAAGGGCAUGGAUUGUUAUAAUCAAAUACUAUCAAAUUGGAAUUUUCAUGCUUAGAACUUCAUUCCAGAUGCUAAGCACCUAUUUAUGGAGUUAAUUAAAAUGCCAAAAUAUAAAAUAUGUGCUCAAGAUGCCUUAUUCAUGUAGACCCCGGUGAAUAUUAUUUUUACAGUACUACCAAAGCAAAAGUUCCCGUAAAUUAAAUCGGUUCUUUUCUGACAUUUAGAUUUGUCAUUGUUUUGUUAUUUGCGAGCUGAUGUUUAUUUAGAUCCCUAAUCACGGAAUGAUCCAAUAGUAAUUAGUAUGAGCACGUAUGACUCGUGUGUGUUAAUUUAUCCAAGCAAGGAGAAUGCCUUGCAUGUAGGAGGCAUUUUGUUGGAAACAAGAGCCAAACACUUCGCUGUCCAAGUUGUGGAAACAUUAUAUGGUGGCCACGGGGUGACUUCUUUUCUAAAGGUGGCCGAGGUACCAGUUCCUCUUCGGAAAAGAGUAAACCUGAUAUCAUUGAUCGUGAAUUUGAAGAGAAAUGAAUAAAGAUCUAGAAAUGGCUUUGAUGUCCUCUACAUGUAGUACUCAUGCAAUGAUGUCAUACUAAAACAUAAGGAUGCAUUUUUAUUUUUAUUUUCACAUUACACUAAUUACUUUCAGUUUAUAUCCAGUUGUGUAUAUUAUGCAUCGUAGGUAGAAUAUGAUUGUCUUAAUAUUUGUAGACUGAGAAAUGAAAGUAACAUCACUUUUAUUGUACGAAUUUUUCAUCAUGAGCAAUUGUGGAAUAAUAUUUCUUGGUUUUGGAUUGCUAAAUUGCAAUUAUAUGCAGUUGAGGUUUCUUUUGCAAAGUAGAUCUCAAGGUGAUCUCCAACAUGGGAUCUUGGGAAUAUCAUGCUCUGAUGCAAGCAGCAUCGACGGCACUAAGGAUUGAUGCCUCUUUUCAAUGGGUGUUUGACAAGAAUUUCAUACUAUUGUACUUUGGUACUCUACCUUCUUAAGGAAAUGAUUGUGCAGAUCGAAGGUGGGG
rnacentral:lncRNA from 1 species